CCUACGGGAGGCAGCAGUGAGGAAUAUUGGUCAAUGGCCGGGAGGCUGAACCAGCCAAGUCGCGUGAGGGAAGACGGCCCUACGGGUUGUAAACCUCUUUUGUCAGGGAGCAAGGUGCAGGUCGGGACCUGCUGUGAGCGUACCUGACGAAAAAGCAUCGGCUAACUCCGUGCCAGCAGCCGCGGUAAUACGGAGGAUGCGAGCGUUAUCCGGAUUUAUGGGGUUUAAAGGGUGCGCAGGCGGAGGCACAAGUCAGCGGUAAAAUCGCGGGGCUCAACCCCGCUCCGCCGUUGAAACUGUGGCCCUUGAGUGCGCGAAGGGUAGGCGGAAUGCGUGGUGUAGCGGUGAAAUGCAUAGAUAUCACGCAGAACUCCGAUCGCGAAGGCAGCCUACCGGCGCGCAACUGACGCUCAUGCACGAAAGCGUGGGUAUCGAACAGGAUUAGAUACCCUAGUAGUC
rnacentral:rRNA from 1 species